rnacentral:rRNA from 1 species
CAGCCGCCGCGGUAAUACCGGCGGCCCGAGUGGCGGUCACUAUUAUUGGGCUUAAAGCGUCCGUAGCCGGGUUGGGAAGGCCUCCGGGAAAUCUGGCCGCUUAACGGUCAGAAUGCCGGAGGAUACUCCCAGCCUAGGGAGCGGGAGAGGCCGAGGGUAUUCCCGGAGUAGGGGGGAAAUCCUAUAAUCCCGGGAGGACCACCUGUGGCGAAGGCGCUCGGCUGGAACGCGUCCGACGGUGAGGGACGAAGGCCAGGGGAGCAAACCGGAUUAGAUACCCGGGUAGUCCUGGCUGUAAACGAUGCGGACUUUGUGUCGGACAAGCUAUGAGCUUGUCCGGUGCCGGAGGGAAACCGUUAAGUCCGCCGCCUGGGGAGUACGGCCGCAAGGCUGAAACUUAAAGGAAUUGGCGGG